rnacentral:rRNA from 1 species
CACGCAGUAAACGAUGAAUACUAACUGUUUGCGAUAUACAGUAAGCGGUACAGCGAAAGCGUUAAGUAUUCCACCUGGGGAGUACGUUCGCAAGAAUGAAACUCAAAGGAAUUGACGGGGGCCCGCACAAGCGGAGGAACAUGUGGUUUAAUUCGAUGAUACGCGAGGAACCUUACCCGGGCUUGAAAUGCAAUCGACGAAUCAGGAAACUGGUUUUCCAGCAAUGGCGAUUGUGUAGGUGC